rnacentral:rRNA from 1 species
UACGGAGGGGGCUAGCGUUGUUCGGAAUCACUGGGCGUAAAGGGCGCGUAGGCGGCUGUUCAAGUCGGGGGUGAAAUCCUGUGGCUCAACCACAGAAUGGCCUCGAUACUGGACGGCUAGAGACCGGAAGAGGUGAGUGGAACUGCGAGUGUAGAGGUGAAAUUCGUAGAUAUUCGCAAGAACACCAGUGGCGAAGGCGGACUCACUGGUCCGGUUCUGACGCUGAGGCGCGAAAGCGUGGGGAGCAAACAGG